AUGGCAACUACAUUCGCGGCACCAAUUCUCUGCAACUUGAGAGCGAACCCACGCCUGAACCACAGCACCAGACAACAGCCACGGCACUUGCACCUGAGCUCGGCGAGAAUGGCGCCAACGCUGACAGGCUCAAGAGCACGGAGCGACUUCCGCGCGGCGGCCGUGUACAAGGUGAAGCUGAUCGGGCCGGAGGGGAAGGAGAGCGUGAUCGAGGUGGCGGAGGACAGCUACAUCCUGGACGCGGCGGAGGAGGCCGGCGUGGAGCUGCCCUACUCGUGCCGCGCCGGCGCGUGCUCCACCUGCGCCGGCAAGGUCCUGGAGGGCGGCGUGGACCAGUCGGACCAGUCAUUCCUCGACGACGCGCAGGUCAGCGCCGGCUACGCGCUCACCUGCGUCGCUUACCCCACCUCCGACCUCGUCAUCCAGACGCACAAGGAGUCCGACCUCUACUAG
rnacentral:rRNA from 1 species